AUUGAACGCUGGCGGCAGGCCUAAAACAUGCAAGUCGAACGCCCUAGCAAUAGGGAGUGGCGCACGGGUGAGUAACAUGUGGGAAUAUGCCUUUUGGUACGGAACAACGUUUGGAAACGAACGCUAAUACCGUAUGGUCCCUCCGGGGUAAAGAUUUAUCGCCAAAAGAUUAGCCCGCACUAGAUUAGCUAGUUGGUAAGGUAAUGGCUUACCAAGGCGACGAUCUAUAGCUGUUCUGAGAGGAAGAUCAGCCACACUGGGACUGAGACACGGCCCAGACUCCUACGGGAGGCAGCAGUUAGGAAUAUUGGACAAUGGGCGCAAGCCUGAUCCAGCCAUGCCGCGUGAGUAAUGAAGGCCUUCGGGUUGUAAAGCUCUUUAGCCGACGAAUAUAAUGACUGUAGUCGGAGAAUAAGCCCCGGCUAACUUCGUGCCAGCCGCCGCUGUAACAC
rnacentral:rRNA from 1 species